UACAGAGGUCUCGAGCGUUAGGCGGAAUCACUGGGCUUAAAGCGUGUGUAGGUGGAUCGUUAAGUACCUUGUGAAAUCCCACGGCUUAACCGUGGAACUGCUUGGUAUACUGGCGGUCUUGAGCCAGCUAGGGGCUACCGGAACAAAUGGUGGAGCGGUGAAAUGCGUAGAUAUCAGGAGGAACACCGGUGGCGAAGGCGGUUCUCUGGGCAUUACCUGACGCUGAGGAGCGAAAGUGUGGGGAGCGAACAGG
rnacentral:rRNA from 1 species